GAUGUUGUAUUUAUAUUAUUAUGCGGUAUGGGGGCCACACAACGAUGAUUUUUACAGUUAUUAUAACAUAAUGUUAUAAAAUAUAACGUACAGUGCCUACACGUGUUAUAUAAUAGGUUCAAUAAAUUGAGCACAAUGUAUAUACGUUCAAAAGCAUUUUAGUUUAUUUGCACACCGAUUAGCCGCGGAGUUAAUGCAUAAUGCGACGCAUAGAAUUAUUGGAAUUAUAAUCUCGUCAUGUUCGAUUAUAGAAUUUUACUCAACAACAAUGAUUAAUACACACGAUUUACAUAGAAUGGUCGAGAACGUAAGACAUUGAUACCUGCAAUAUCAAUUAUUGGUACACCUAGGCGCCCAGAUCUGAAAUGGUGUAAUGAGUUCCUUCAGAUAACGGGGAAAAAAAUUUCAAAAAAACAUGAUUCACAUUUUUUUAUGAGAAAAGUUUUGAGUUGAUCUUUUUUCUUCUGUCAACACGUGAAAACGAUGCAUUAUACUUCAUCACAUCUUUGCGAUAAGUGAAAACAUAUCUGCAAGCGAUCACUUAAAAUUAUUUCAUAAACAUAACGGACUUCUUGGGCUUUAAGGCUUGACAGACGUCAUGAAAAAAUACUCCUAAUCAAAAACCAAGUUCAAGCUGUUGAUUUUACAUUCUCCGCAGCCAGCAAAUAAGGAAUGCAUGUGUCUUAUUCUGUGUUUUUUCGACGAUUUUAUUGGAAAUAUUGAUGGUGCCCGUGUAUUAUACAGUCUCAGAAGUUAACAUUUUGACAACAUUGAACAUUUGAUAUAAAAUAAUGAUUUUGUUUGCUCAACAGAUUGUGUUUAUAUUCAAUAACAUAGUAUUAUUAUCGUUGUGACUUUAAACGUGUUAGCUGUUACUUAUACAAAUAAAAUAAUAAUAAUAAUAAUAUUAAUAUUAAUAUUAAUAUUAACACAAUAUUGUAAUUAUAACUUUAAAUUUAUUGAAUUCGUGACAAACCUACCCGCUAGCUGUCCCGGGUAAAUCAAAUAGAUAAAAAUAACGUAAUAAUUAAACCUAUAGUUUUUAAUGUUAAAUUUGUGUCAAAUUUAAAGCCACUCAAUACAAAUAACUUAAACCUAUAAAUAUCAGGCAACAAGUUAAUGCAAUAUAUAAGUGCAACUAAUCAUUUUUAGUUAAACAUUUUAAACGCAUACGACAAGCUCCUUGCAAUUCAUUACAACAAACCCAACUGAUUAAUCACUUAUCUAUGUAGAUAUAAACGAAAAUUACACACCAAAAUGACGUUACGUAGGUAUUAUACACUAGUUAUUUGUUAAGUUAAACAUUAUUAUAACGUCAGCUAUAAUAUAUUGAUAGAAAAUAAUUAGUAACAGACUAUAGUUCAAAUUUCUCGUUUAAAAAUUCGUCAUAAGACUUAAAUUGGGUCAGAUAAAAUAAUGAUUAUUUUCUUUGUGAAAAUGUACAGUACGCACUGUACAUAUGGUGAACAUGAAUAUCGUCUAGUUUCAGAGUUAUUAACAUUUAUGAUAUAUAAUAUAAUGACUAAUUGUAUGAUUACUCGAUCGAGUAUCGAAAUACUCCAAAAAGUAAUUUUCUUUGCAAUGUGAAAUUAAAUAGAUAUUUUGUCAAUCCAAAAAUUAAAAAUCUUAAAUUUUUUUUUGUUAAAUGUUAUUUUACAAUGAUAUUAUCAAAUCGUGAUUUGUGAUUUCUAUUUGAAAUAUCGAGUGAAUCAAAUGGACCAUCUUGUAAAGGUACAUUAAAAUGAAUACUAAGUCAACAAAGUAUUGUGGGGAUACCGUUAAAAUGUAGGUAUUUUGAUUGUAGAAAUAUUGCUGUUAAAUAUUUUUACUAGUUUUAUUUUUAUUAAUGCGGUGCUAUUUUGUGUAUGAACGUUUUUGUGAUUAAAAAAAAAAACACGUUAUGAAAUGUUUGUUCAAGUGUUUUAUGAGCUAUAUUAUGUGUUUCAUCAUAGACAUCAUCGUGAGUACGUUGAUAAAUUUAAUAUAAAAUAUAAGUAAUUUUAAAAAUAAGUAGUUUUUUUGUUCUACAGCAACUUAUAAUCGAAAAGAUUAGAUAAGUGAAACAAUAAAUGCUCAUCGCAUGUUCAUAUGUUAUAUAUGACUCACAAGCAUUAAUGUACAGUUGCUGUGAUUUAGUUACGCAGAACUUUAUAAAAAUUUAUAAAAAAUUGCCAUUUUAAUAUUUACUUAACUUCAUUUACCAUAUGAUCGAUUUGUUUGCGAAGCAAAUUUAAAUAUUUGUAGAACUUUUACGCCGAAUUCAAAAAUCAAUUAAGAGUGUAUUAUAUUAUAUAUGAUUCAUGCACAAUAAUAGCUAAUGCCAAUAACCUUUGCUAAACAUAAUAUAAGACGUGUAAACCAGUAUAGUCGUAUAUAUUACAUAAUUCUAAGUAGUAUGAAGUGGUGGGAAAAUAUUUUAGACAAAAUAAUAAUAUGUAUCGUAAAUUCGAACAUUUAAUGAAAACAAAAUUUAAAAAAUUUAAAUAGUGAUAUAAUAUAUAUAAAUACAGCAAUUUAAAACGUUCAUUCAUGAUAUUGGUUAAUACGUUAUGAAACAGAAAGAAAAGGAGCAGUUCACGAUAACGCUGCAGAUGUUCUUAUAAAAAAUAAAAACAAAUACUUGAAUAAUAAAUAACUUCAGAUUGUAUACCCAAUGACAUUGAGUAUUUAUCUUAGCUGUGCUUCAGUGGCGUUGUUUCGAGUUUUACUUGACGGGGGGGAGGGGGACUUUGACCGGUCCUUUUGCAAAUAAUAAAUGUUUGUUCCUCCUGUGAUUGCUGCAGCUUUUUAUAAUAUAGCCUAUAGCCAGGUGAUGUCUCGUCCUUGCCUGUUUUAUCGAACUGGCGUUAUCUAUUGCAUUUCUCGCCCGUGUUGCCAGCAUUAUUAAAUAUACGUAAUAUAUAUAUUGAACUAAAAAUCUGACUAAAAAACAAAAUGAGUCUUACAACAAUAGCCCUCAAUAAACUACAAAACGUAUAUUUUUUUUAAUAUGCUCAAGGAAAAUAUUUAACUGCACAUAAAAUAUACUUUUAUUAAUUCUUUUUCUUUUCUCGUUGGACCGGCCAACUCCAAAGAUCCCAAUGAUCGGCAUAGUAGGCCUAUACAAAUAGGCCAGGGGAAAAUGUCCCUUUGACGCCCCUAAAUGACGCCACUGCUCGAAUCAUGAACCACACUAUAUAAUAUUAUGUAUUGUAUAGAUAUGAUGGGAAUUAAAAGUUGCCUAGUUUCAAUAAUACAUAAGUAUCAACUAUUAACACUAGGUAGGUAUUAUUAUUAUUUAUUAAACCUAUAGGUACUCGUGAUCAUUACGACCCGACACCAUGUUUUUGCUUUUCAAUGAUACAUUGGGUUAAACCUGUAACAUAAAUAGAUAACGUAGGCCUCUUAUUUUGAACAACGUUUCCUAUUUUUUUUUUUUAUUAAAUUUUCGCCGUGACUUUUAAAAUAAUAAUGGGUAUUGAGUUUCAAUAGUUGUAUUAUUAAAAACUGAAUUUCAUAAUAAUAUUAUCCCGAUAGUAAAACAUGCCACUUAAUAUAAUCUAUAUUUUAUUUAGUAUUUGAUAUUUUUAUCAGUUGUGUAGGUGAACUAAAUAUUUCAUAUUU